rnacentral:rRNA from 1 species
UACAUGGGGUGCAAACGUUGCUCGGAAUUAUUGGGCGUAAAGCGCGCGUAGGCGGUUACUUAAGUCGGAUGUGAAAGCCCUCGGCUUAACUGAGGAAGUGCACCCGAAACUGAGUAGCUAGAGUACGAAAGAGGGUCGCGGAAUUCCCGGUGUAGAGGUGAAAUUCGUAGAUAUCAAGGAGGAACACCGGUGGCGAAGGCGGGUCUCUGGGCAGUACUGACGCUGAGGAGCGAAAGCGUGGGGAGCGAACAGG